rnacentral:rRNA from 1 species
GUCCACGCUGUAACGAUGAAUACUAGGUGUGGGAGGACUGACCCCUUCCGUGCCGCAGUUAACACAAUAAGUAUUCCACCUGGGGAGUACGACCGCAAGGUUGAACUCAAAGGAAUUGACGGGGCCCGCACAAGCAGUGGAUUAUGUGGUUUAAUUCGACGCAACGCGAAGAACCUUACCAGGACUUGACAUCCAACUAACGAAGUAGAGAUACAUUAGGUGCCCUUCGGGAAAGUUGAGACAGGUGGUGCAUGGUUGUCGU